rnacentral:lncRNA from 1 species
AAUUUCUUAAAAGCGUUCUUGAAUCUUCUUUAGUUAGUUUCCAAACACAGGCAUUUAUAUAUAAAUAUUAUGAAGAGUGCUUCAUCCUCAGUUCAGUUACAACCCCCCACUUAUGGAAAUCUUAUUACAAUUCUAAGCAUUGAUGGGGGUGGUAUUAGAGGAAUCAUUCCUGCCACUAUCCUUGAAUAUCUUGAAACUCAACUUCAGGUAAUUCACAUUUAGAUAGCUUUGUUCCUAUUUUUAUUUUUGAAAAAAAAAAUGAAGAAGAAGAAAAAUAUAACUCUUUGCCAUUUUAUUCAAAAGCUCAAAUUGUUAGGGAAAAGACCCAUUUAUUUAUUUGAAAAUUCUCUUCAACACAUCCAACCUUGGGUUGGUCCAGUUUCAUUUUUCUUCAAAAUCUUGAUUAGUGGAUAAUUUUAACAAAUAGUUAGUAGUUAAAUUUCAACACAAUAUCUUCGGUUACCCUCACACUACUUUAUCGUUGUUAGAGAGCACAUAAUAGAUUUUUUUUAUUUUUUUUUUUGGGACCUUAAUAAUAUUUUAUUGUUGUGAGAUAGCAAAAGCAUAUGUUUCUUUCAAAAAAAUAUUUAAUUAGUUCCAUCACGUUUUUUGUCGAAAACAUGGUAAUUUUAUUGUUUAAGUGAUAGUCGUAGCUCAAAUAAAAGUUUAAAUUAUUUAUAUAUUUAAUAUUUUUUCUUCACACAAAUCACUUGACUGAAUUGAUACUGUAGCUAUUUUGUUAAUGAUCUAACAUUUAUAUUUUGUAUUCGAAACUUAUCGGAAACAAAAACUAACAUAUUCAUAUUCAUAUAGAACAUAUCUAAUACCAAGUUGCUCAAAUUUUAAAAUGGAAGAGAUUUUAAUGAUUCCACAAAAAAAUGCAUAUGUAAUAUUCUAAUGACUAGAAAUAUGUGAUCUUCAUUGCCAGGUCCUUGAUGGCGAGGAUGCUAGACUAGCAGAUUACUUUGAUGUAAUUGCAGGAACGAGCACGGGAGGUCUAGUAACUGCCAUGUUAACCGCUCCUAACAAAAAUAACCGUCCAUUGUUUGCAGCUAAAGAUAUCAAACCCUUUUAUCUCGAGCACUCAUCUAGAAUUUUUCCUCAAAAGAAGUAUAAAUUAUACUUUAGUAACAAACAGUCACAUUUUAUAUUAAUCUUAGUGAUUUUAUGACUAUAUUUUUAUUGAUGAGCACAUAUAUUUGUAUUGGUUUGGAAUUGCAGUGGCUUACUGGGAUUGGUCGGAAAACAAUUGGAAUCUGUAGUCGGACCAAAGUACAACGGAGAGCACCUUCACAAAGUUAUUAGGGAAAAACUAGGCAAGACUCGAUUGGAUGAGACUUUAACUAAUGUUGUCAUUCCAACAUUUAACAUCGAAAAUUUGCAACCUAUUGUUUUCUCCACAUAUCAGGUCUACCAUUCUUUUCAUCAUUUCUUAAUUGUUUAUGAGUACUGAUAUUUUUUAUUUUUUGUGCUAUUUCCAUCAAAAAACUUGAAACUAUAAUAUUCUAGAUGGCUAAUCAUUAUAUUUUAAGUAUUUACUAGAGGCCUCUCAAUCUAUUCAAGGGCUUCAACAAAACUUUUAGUUUUUUUUCCAAAAAGAAUAAUAAUAAAUUAAAAUAGAGUGACCAAUUACACUAAACAAUUCUCCCAAUAAUUGCUAACAUGUCAAUGAUUCAAAUGGAAUCGCAAACACUCAUAUUGUUGGAUAUCGUCAGUGCACAGACAAGAUUGACUAUCGACGAUAAUAUGUCUUGUAGGAAGUCAUCAAUAAUCAUCAACUACAUUUCGAUCUAUAGAGAAGUUGCUAAUGUCAAUGAAAAAAAUUUAAUGUCACUUUAUUUUAUUAACAAGUUACUACUAGAAUAUUGAUAAUCUAUAUAUCUUUUAUUUUUUAUUUGUAAUAUUGGGGCAAAUAGGGAACGUAAUGUAAUGUAAUUCAGUCCGUAUAUAUGUAUAUACAGGCUGUGAGGACGCCAUCGUUGGACGCUCGACUCUCAGAUAUAUGCAUUGGCACAUCUGCAGCUCCAACUUAUCUUCCUGCAUAUUAUUUCAAGAACCAGAUUAAACAAGGUUAUGUACGAGAGUUCAACCUCGUAGACGGUGGUGUUGCUGCCAAUAAUCCGGUAAACAUACAUUCAUAUAUACACACACGCGCACGCGCAUAGAUGCACACAUACAGAACGAUGUCAUUGAAUUUUAUAUAAUAAAAUAAAUGAGAUGAAUAUAUACAGACUUCGUUUCACCUUUUCAAUAUAUUAUGGAAAUCCAUUCCGUACUGGUCACUUUCGUAACUUUCACUAAUAUUUACAAAAUUUUAUAUUUUCUUUUAUCAGCAAACAUAUUAUACUUAAAUCUCACAAAGAUCAUGAAAUAAAUCGUUCAUUAAAUAUUAAAUUGAUUUUCCGUGAAAUUCAAAUAAAUCUAAUGAAUGUUGUAGCAGUGACUGGUAAAUUAAUGAACCAAUAUGAGGCCAAACUCUUUCAACUUUGUUUCUCUUCUUUUAAGAGGAAUUAUUUUGUUUGUUGAAUUUUCUCUUUCUUUUACUAAUAAAAACAGAAGUGUUAAAAUCUUAUCUUUUCUCAAACCCUAAAUUUUUGCAGACAUUAGUUGCCAUCAACCAAAUUACAAAACAGAUUUUGGAUGGAAACCCAGAUUUCUUCCCAAUUAAGCCUAUGGAUUAUGGACGCUUUUUAGUCAUCUCAGUGGGCACUGGCUCGUCAAAGGCACAAAAGAAAUAUAGUGCUCAAAAGGCAGCCAAAUGGGGAAUUUUUGGAUGGUUGCUGAAUGGAGGUUCCACUCCAAUAGUAGAUGUCUUCACUCAAGCCAGUGCCGAUAUGGUGGAUUUACAUAUUUCCGUUGUUUUCCAAGCAUUUCAUUCUCAAGAAAACUACCUUAGAAUUCAAGUAAGAUUGCCGUUAAACCAUACCAUUUACUGCCAAAAUUUACUCAUUUAAAUUUUUAUCUUCAGCAAAUCGUUUUUUCUGCACACCAGAUUUAUUUCAUCAUUAAAAACCCAUCGUGUACAUAAUAUUUUGGUGGUGAUUGCUGGUUUAUAUAAAAAAUUUGCCUCCUUUAGUGCUAACAUAUAUUCAUCUCAUCUAAGAGCUAAAUCUAAACAAAUUUGUUUACUUAAAAUGUGUUAAUCCCCUUAUUUUGUAAUUUGAUUUUUUACAUUUUUGAGAACUGACAAUUUUUUAAAUUACAUGUAAGGAGGACUCUUUAACUGGGACGGCUGCCUCAGUUGAUGUUGCAACAAAGGCAAACCUGAACAAACUGGUUGAAAUUGGCCAGAGUUUAUUGAAGAAACCAGUUUCAAGGGUAAACUUAGAUUCAAGUCUAUCCGAGCCAAUUGAAAACGGUGGAACAAAUGAGGAUGCUCUGAAAAAGUAUGAAUAAACAAAAAAAAAAAAAAAAAAAAAAAUAUAUAUAUAUAUAUAUAUAUAUACUGUUAUUUUGCACAUUUGUAAUUCAUUUCUAUUCAUGUUAACAGUUGUCCUAUUCAUUUUGUCUUACAGAUUUGCAAAAUUGCUUUCAGAAGAAAAACGGUUUAGGGACUUAAAAUCACCUUUCAGCAAGGAAACCUCCACUUAGCUGAAUUAUUCUUCCUGGGGAUUAUUUAUCAUCUCAUUAAGACAUAUGUUAAUAAUAAUUUAGUUCAAACAGAGAUUGUGGCCUUUUUGUUUGAAUUCUAAAAUAUCUACUGAGAUGGAUUGUAAUUUAAUUAUUCUGUAUCCGCUAGAAAGUGCGUCUUUGUAUAAUCAUGUACUGUUUAUCUUAUAAAUUGUAUAUAUAUGCAUACUCAAUAAAAU